AUGAAACAAAUGCAGCACCUAUCAUCCCAAACACAUGGCUAGCCCUGAAUAUUGGCGUACCCCACUGAUAUGGGUAUGGAAUUUUGAUCCUAGAAACAGUGACAUAAAAUAAUGAGUCAUAAAAAGGAAACAGUACAACAAGUAGAACAGCUCA